rnacentral:rRNA from 1 species
UACGGAGGGUGCGAGCGUUGUCCGGAAUCACUGGGCGUAAAGGGCGCGUAGGCGGCCUGAUAAGUAGGGGGUGAAAUCCUGCGGCUUAACCGCAGGGCUGCCUUCUAAACUGUCAGGCUAGAGCACAGUAGAGGCAGGUGGAAUUCCCGGUGUAGCGGUGGAAUGCGUAGAGAUCCGGAGGAAGACCGGUGGCGAAGGCGGCCUGCUGGGCAGAUACUGACACUGAGGCGCGACAGCGUGGGGAGCAAACAGG